CGGGGCGUAGCGUAGCUUGGCUUAGCGCGCCUGCUUUGGGAGCAGGAGGUCCUGGGUUCGAAUCCCAGCGCCCCGACCA
rnacentral:tRNA from 1 species